ensembl:lncRNA
GGGAAAGGGGGAGGCGCGGGGAGCUCGCUGCCUGCCUGCCUGCUCGCUCGAGCCGGGGACGAGACGCCCCCCACCCCUCCAGCUCGGCCUCUCCAUCCAAGUUCCCGGUCCCCGGCCGCCCGGAUCCGGGGAUGGCAACCGCCGCCCGCCCGCCUCUGCGCCCUUUUUUCCAGCCGCCGCGCAGAAAUUUAGGUCAAGGACGUCGGGAUCAAACCCAAACCCUGGCGCUCCUUGGGCGCUCCCGGAGACCCCCAGAACGGGGGGCGGGGGGCUUUCAGGAUGGUGCGGACACCCUCCGCACAAACCCCAGCCACAAGUUUUAUUUUCCUUUCGCGCUGGAAGUUCUGUCUGGCUCUCGAUCCACACCGGCACGUCUUGCGCGGCUCCCCGCCCUUCCCCGGCAGAGGAACUUUUGUAUCCACGUCCAUAAGUCAAUCAGGCUGCAGUUUUGCCUUCUCAUGUUGCCUUUCUCUGGUUAUACUGGCCUCAAAAAAUGAACUGGUAAGUUUCCUAUAAACAGCAUACAAUUGGACCUUGUUCCUUUAUUUAUUGGGUUGACUGGUAUAUCCAUGGCCUUAUUUCAUUUUUUCCUAUGAUGAACACUUAUAAACCUGCUAUUCAACCAGAGACUAAAACAGCAACGGUGACUGACAACUCCUUGUGCGUUCCUCCCCCGUUUGCUCACCUAAAGAAACUGCCAGUCUCAAUCUUCUCAGUUGGUGAAGAACCCACCUGCAAUGCAAGAGACCCCAGUUCGAUUCCUGGUUGGGAAGAUAUCCCUUGGAGAAGAGAUAGGCUACCCACUCCAGUAUUCUUGAGUUUCCCUUGUGGCUCAGCUGGUGAAGAAUCCACCUGCAAUGUGGGAGACCUGGGUUCAAUCCCUGGGUUGGGAAGAUCCCCUGGAGAAGGGAAAGCUACCCACUCCAGUAUUCUGGCCUGGAGAAUUCCAUGGACUCUGUAGUCCAUGGGGUCACAAAGAAUCAGACGCGACUGAGCGACUUUCACUUCACUUCACAGAGAUACUUAAAAAACGCAUGAAAAUAGAGCUGCUUACCUCAUAGGUUUGCUGCAAGAUUCGGGCGCUAACGUUUACAGAGUGCUUUAGUUAGACUCUGACCAAAUGAACUGUGCACUAGAUAUAAAGAAGGGAUUGCAUAUUAUUAAUGUUAUCAGAUUGCAACACAUUUUAUGUUCAAUUACCUGCAAUGCUCUUUCUGGAGCAUCGCUUUGCUCAUCUGCUUAUCCCCACUGCACACUUGUAAAAGGUCAUUGUCAAGAUAUAAAAUUAUAGGUACGAUUUAAAUGUCUUGACUCAGUUACUAACAACCGUGAGCAUGUUUUCAAAUUGGAAAAGCAAGAUCCAUUUAAACUCACUCUUUUUCCGCAAAAGGCUCUUUGUUUACUUUCUGGUAUUGCAUUUCACAGGCAGGCCAAGCGCCUCUCUGAUUAAAGAGUUUGUUCACUUUAUCUGUCUCCCUGUAGCUUCACAAGCCUUACUCUUAAGAAUAGACAUGGCAGACUUUGCACCAAAGAAGCAAACCUUACUUUUCACGAGAAAAUAUUUAGUAAAAGUGAAUUUUUAUUUAUGAAAAUUCCACCAAGCAUAAA